rnacentral:tRNA from 1 species
UCAUUAAUUAAUUGGCAGAAAAAUGCAUUAGAAUUAGAAUCUAAUUAAACUCCA